GUUCAACAUCAAGCAGUCUUUUAGGCCACAAAAAAACAUGGUUUUGACGUUGCCUGUUGCGGAAAUGCAGGCAUGAGAGUCUACAGCGAUCGAGUGGAUAUCAAUGUGUGUGUAUGCAUCAUAUCUUUAUCACAGUACCAAGCUGAGAAUGACUCUAUUACAGAUACUGAAAAUGGGCAAAUCUACCACAGAGACGUUUGACAUGACAUACGUUUCACAUUCGAGGUGUUUUGGUGGCACGUGUGCUUCAAGAACGGAAGAAAAUCACUGAAUAGAGAUCAGGAAGAACUUGUUCAACCACUAAAAAUUGUUGAAACCAUCCAGCAACUUGUGCAUGAGGAUCAUCGGAGAAUAAUCCACAUGGUCUUACUUCCAUACCCACCCUACUUACCAGAUUUGCUCUUGCAGACUUCACCCUCUUCCCUAAGAUGGAGAUCUAGUGCAAAGGUUGCUGUUUUAACACCAUUGUGGAGAUCCAGUGUAAAUCGCAGAAGAUGCUUUGAAAUGAAGACUUCCAGGACACAUUACAGAAGUGACAAGAACACUGGGAGCGCUGUAUUGCUGUGCAAGGGGACUAUUUUGAAGAUGAUAGUGUGUAAACAUAGAUAAAUAAAGUACUAGUAAAUGGAGCCAGUCGCAAAAGUUUUUAAAACCCAUCUUGUAUUUUUCAAUAACUGUAGAGGGUACUGUGCAGAACUGUAGAGAUGCAAGUGCUGAACGUUUUUAAUGUACAAACAAAUGGAAAUUAAACUGAACACUGAACAUCAUAA